rnacentral:rRNA from 1 species
CGAACAAGUACCGUGAGGGAAAGAUGACAAGCACUUUGAAAAGAGGGUGAAAAGAGCCUGAAACCGUCACGGGGGAAGCGGAUCGCGUUGGAUCGGUGGGCGCUCGUGUGUUCAGCCUUCGGGUGCAUUGGCACGAGUGCUUAUCCGCUGUGAGUUUUCGGGGAUCGAUUUUGGAUCCCUGGAGGCUGAGGGCUCCCUUUUUUAGGUGAGGACAGCGGAGUAACGACGCGAUACGACCCGUCUUGAAACACGGACCAAGGAGUCUAGCGCGGGUGCGAGUCGGAGGGUGCAAGCCCGUGGGCGAAGUGAAAGCGAGUGUAAAAACGAGCCAGUUUGGGGCGGCAUAAGAUCGUUGAUCUUAAGACCGACCCAGAGCAGUUGCGCUGGGACCCGAAAGAUGGUGAACUAUGCCGGAGUAGGGCAAAGCCAGAGGAAACUCUGGUGGAGGCUCGUAGCGGUGCUGACGUGCAAAUCGCUCGUCGAACUUGGGUAUAGGGGCGAAAGACUAAUCGAACCAUCUAGUAGCUG